CUGGGAGUGAAAUUGCUAGGUUACAAGUAGGUGUAUGUUUACUUUUAUCAGAAACUUCUGCACCCUAUUUUGUGUUCUUUUUCUUAAGGAGACUCCUUGAAAUAGUAUAAGCUUCAGGUCCCAUAAAGGUGAAUCUGCCCGGCAGACAAGAUUUCAAUCAAGAGGCCAAUGUCACACAGAGCCCCUUCGGGGAAGAUGCACUAAGCAAGGAGUGUGUGCUACCUACCUGUGCCGGCAAGCCUGUCCCCACCACCUCUGGGUGGAGAAGACUGGUCAACAGCUUUGUCUCAGCUAGAGGAUUUCUCCACUUACCAGAACACUAAACACUUGCCCAUCCCUGGCCAUGGUCUAACCCACAGCUCAGCUUAUUUCCCAGCUUUUCCGGAUCACUUUGCACUUGGUUCAUUUCGGAAAAUGAUCCAGUGAUGAAAGACAUGAAGUUCGCCUAUGGUUAUUGCUACCUUCUCUGCACAAAGAGAGCACUCACCCCACCAUACUCUGAAGAACAUGCCUCUCAUGCUCAGGGACGUGAUUAUAAGGGUCUGAUUAACCCACCAGGGGCUCACACGGUUUUCAGUCAAUGUAGCCAUCCCUGGGCACUAGUCUUUCAGCUAAUCCUAUCAAAGGUUGUAGGCUGGGGGUGGGAUGAGAUUACAAAUCCAAACAUAUUUACACAGAUGUCUUUUUUAGCCCCAUACACAGCCAGGAUUGCAUUUGCAUCUUGUAACAAAAUCAUAAUUAUCACGGGCCAACUUAGUUAGAAACCUAAGACCAGGAUGCUGAGAGAGAGAGAAUGAAAAACAAAGAAAAGGGAUGGCGAUUAAGUAGGGGGGAAAAAAAACUCAUGAGGAAAGCCUUCCAGCAGCAAUCAGCUGAGAACAGCAGGUUUGUGUUCAGCCUAUGUGGUUAUUUUCUGAUUAGGCUGGGUUGUCUGCCUAAUCAGAUUUUCUGCUCCCCUGUUAUCCAUCUUAUUAGGUUCUUUCCACAUGUGCGGCUUAGGGUUCCCUAGCAGUCACAAGAUGAUUCAAAGUAACGACCAACAAAGGCACUUUCUG
rnacentral:lncRNA from 1 species